rnacentral:rRNA from 1 species
GUAGGGAAUAUUGGGCAAUGGAGGCAACUCUGACCCAGCCAUGCCGCGUGCAGGAUGACGGCCCUCUGGGUUGUAAACUGCUUUUAUACGGGAAGAAAAAAUACUACGUGUAGUAUACUGACGGUACCGUAAGAAUAAGGAUCGGCUAACUCCGUGCCAGCAGCCGCGGUAAUACGGAGGAUCCAAGCGUUGUCCGGAUUUAUUGGGUUUAAAGGGUGCGUAGGCGGAUCUUUAAGUCAGUGGUGAAAGCCUGCAGCUUAACUGUAGAAUUGCCAUUGAAACUGAAGAUCUUGAAUGUGGUUAAAGUAGGCGGAAUGUAUCAUGUAGCGGUGAAAUGCUUAGAUAUGAUACAGAACACCUAUUGCGAAGGCAGCUUACUACGCAUAUAUUGACGCUGAGGCACGAAAGCGUGGGGAUCAAACAGGAUUAGAAACCCCAGUAGUCC